rnacentral:lncRNA from 1 species
AGAUGAUGGUUUUAUUUUAUUUUAUUUAUUAUUAACUUAUUUCAUAAAUUACUAAAUUAACCUUGGCUUAAAGCAUUAAAUAUCAUAUAAUAUAUGCCCAUAAUUGUCCACCCACCAUUAUAAAGGUCUAAUUGCAACAUAAGGACCUUUUCUUUAAGGUUCUAUAGCUAUUAGAUACUUCUAGCUAAUAGAACUCCACUUUUACACUUUACUCAAUUUAG